rnacentral:tRNA from 1 species
GAGGAGAUGGCUCAGCGGUAGAGCGCGUGCUUCGCGUGCAUGAGGUCCUGGGUUCAAUCCCCGGUACCUACU